GACGAACGCUGGCGGCGUGCUUAACACAUGCAAGUCGAGCGGAAAGGCCCUUCGGGGUACUCGAGCGGCGAACGGGUGAGUAACACGUGAGCAACCUGCCCCAGGCUUUGGGAUAACCCCGGGAAACCGGGGCUAAUACCGAAUAUGACCUCCGACCGCAUGGUUGGGGGUGGAAAGUUUUUCGGCUUGGGAUGGGCUCGCGGCCUAUCAGCUUGUUGGUGGGGUGAUGGCCUACCAAGGCGACGACGGGUAGCCGGCCUGAGAGGGCGACCGGCCACACUGGGACUGAGACACGGCCCAGACUCCUACGGGAGGCAGCAGUGGGGAAUAUUGCACAAUGGGCGGAAGCCUGAUGCAGCGACGCCGCGUGAGGGAUGACGGCCUUCGGGUUGUAAACCUCUUUCAGCAGGGACGAAGCGCAAGUGACGGUACCUGCAGAAGAAGCACCGGCCAACUACGUGCCAGCCGCCGCCGUAAUAC
rnacentral:rRNA from 1 species